AAUGGACGUUGGCGGCGUGGAUUAGGCAUGCAAGUCGAGCGAGAAGCUUUCGAAAGAUACUUCGGUUGAUUUCUUAAGUGGACAGCGGCGAAAGGGAGAGUAACGAGUAGAUUACGUACCCAGGGGUUCGGGAUAGCUGAGGGAAACUUCAGGUAAUACCGAAUAGUGUUUCCGAACCAAAGAUUUAUCGCCCUUGGAUCGGUCUGCUUACUAUUAGCUUGUUGGUGGGUAAAGGCCUACCAAGGCAAAGAUGGUUAGCGGGUGUGAGAGCAUGGCCCGUCUCACUGGGACUGAGACACUGCCCAGACACCUACGGGUGGCUGCAGUCGAGAAUCUUCCGCAAUGGACGCAAGUCUGACGGAGCGACGCCGCGUGCGGGACGAAGGCCUUCGGGUUGUAAACCGCUGUCAGAGGGGAGCAAAUUUUGAGCGAUCCUCAGAGGAAGCACAGGCUAAGUUCGUG
rnacentral:rRNA from 1 species